ensembl:snoRNA SNORD116 Small nucleolar RNA SNORD116
GGAUCGAUGAUGAUUCCCCAAAAAAACAUUCCUUGGAAAAGCUGAACAAAAUGAGUGAAAAUUUAUGCCCUUCUCACUCAUCGGUGACUGAGGUCC